CAAGAAAGCCAUGCCACCCUGAACAAGUCCGAUCCCGUCUGAUCUCGGAAGCUAAGCAGGGUCGAGCCCUGCUUGGAUGGGAGACAACCUAGGAAGUCCAGGUGCUGC
rnacentral:rRNA from 1 species